GGGAGGGAGAGAAUAUUGAAUUAUUGUUCACAAUAAAUCUGCAGUUAGCGGUUAAAAAAAAUUAAUUUAGACAUUUUUAAUGGGAAGAAUGGAAUUGGGAAAGGAAUAUGUUUGAGUAUUUUUGGCAAUUAUGCAUUAAUUUGUGUACCUUACAUGGCAUUAACUUCAAAAUUGUGGGUAUUUUCUGUUUUGAUAUCCAUGUUUUUAUAUGAUCUGCUAUUAGUUUCAACAUGUGCAUGUGGGUUAAUUGCUUUGAAAUCUUUGCAUGUCUCACAAUCUUUGAAGGAUCCCAGUUUGUUAAGCUUGCUGUAUUAGGAGUUCAAGUGGAAGAUUGGCUAUGUUUUCUUAGUAUGAGAUUUUCCUAUAUUUUUUUUAGUGUGAGGAUUGGGGGAGUGAGGAUUCGAACCUAGGUUUGCCAGGUAAAUAAUAUGCCUCAUGUUAUUAUUUCCAAAUAUGUUGUUUGUCUAAUAGUUAUAAUGAUUAGGCUUUGUCCAAGGAAAUCUUUUUCACUUACAACUAAUGUUCUUGCUUAUGUUGUCUAGCUGUUGAAACAAUGAACUUGAUAUCUAUUCUCAAAUCUCAACUUGUAAUGUUGCUGUUAUUUGAUGAUUUUUCUAGUAGCUAGAUGGUGUAUCUAGCUCAAAAUUUUAGAUGACUUUAGUUUGAUAGUUGGUGAAGUUCCAUCUCAACUGGGGUUUAUAUUUUGGCCAUCUCCUAUCAAAGUUAGUUAAUCACUUCAUUAGUUUGGCA
rnacentral:misc_RNA from 1 species